rnacentral:lncRNA from 1 species
AGAGGAAGUUGAGAGUUUAACAACAGAUUGCCUGUGCUCUGACACAACUGAGUCUACAUAUCACUUGUUUGCACUGUUCCUUAUUCUGACAAGAGGUCAUAAGGAUUAAACAACAACAAAAUGUCACAAGUUUCUGCAGUUCUUAAUAAAACUCUUAUAAGGAAAACAAACUCAGACGACACAAUCACACAAAUCUUAUUCCAUUGCCAUGUUUGAUCUGACACAAAAAAAAAACACUAAGCCUGAAAUCUCAGGGCAUGGACAUCGUUCAUGGUGAUGGAGCGGAAGCAUGACCUCCCACUCCGUGGAUGGCGACAAUGGGACUACGCACAACAUGCAUUUUCGACACCCAGCUCAAGCUUCCCUCCACAAAGAUUUCCGAUGCACCCACGCCUUGGCAGCUCACCGUCACGCUGAACGUCUUCUUUUCUCCAGCCUUGGAGAACACCAGUGUCUUUGGGGAGACAUGCAAUGUCAUAGAGCUUGGCGAGUUUACCUUAGCAGCGUAUGUAGAAUCUGCCGGCCCAACGUUCGUCACCGUCCGGGUCACGGUGAACGGCGUUGAUGCUAGCGGCACAGUUAGAGUAGGGUAGUUGAGCUGAACGUCCUUGACCUUGGGCAGCUUCGCGCAGGUCAGGCUCGAGUUGCGUACGAUGGUCACCAAGCCUUCCUCGCCAAGGAGCCAGCAGAUGUAACCUGCAUAGUCGGUUACACCGAGGUCAUACACCAAACCUGGGUCAGCAGCCCUCGCCGGGUUCACAUGGCCGGCGCCUCUAUCGUACGCACUGGCUUUAUCAUGCCUCUCGUUCAAGAUCGAGCCGCCGAUGUUGUUGGUGGUGUCCGACGUUGUCAGGAUGGCCGACUUGAUGGCAGCCGGUGACCAUUCAGGAUGCAAGCUUUUGAUAAGCGCCGCAACACCACUGACAUGUGGCGUUGCCAUGGACGUGCCCGAUAUGAUUUUGAAAGGGGGACUUGGCCACGCCGCAAGGAUGUUGAGCCCGGGCGCAAGAAUGUCUGGCUUGAGCACACCUGGAGCGACUGAGCUUGGACCCCGGGAAGAGAACGAUGCCACGACCGGGUUCGGACGAACACCCAACACUGUGUUGUUGUAUGUGAAAGUGGCAACGGCGUCGUUCGAUGCUGACUUCGUGUAAGCUGCGAGGGCGAUGCCGUCGGCGAAGGUCACCUGCACCACUCUCGCUUCGUCGAAAUCCUGAAGAAUAAUGGUGUAGCCAGUGGCUUUGUCAUUGAAAAGAACCACGCCAGCCGCACCAUGACCCAUUAACCUCGAAAUGUCAGAAUAGCGAGCCAUGGGUGUUGUGGACUGACAAACAAUUAUUUUCCCGGCAACUGAACCGUAAUACGCAUUCUGGCAGAAACGAUGUUCCUCGGAGUAGAAGAGAGGGUAUGGCUUUGAGGUUGGCUUUAUCGCUGGGGUAAAUGCUUCUCCGUCCAUGCGCUUGCCGUUGCCGAGAUGCACGCCAGCGUCGAAUCUCCGGUCCACUGAGCCAGCGGCAACCGUGAGCAACCACGGUGCACUGUUGGAGACCGACCGUGGAGUGGGACCUUUGUUGCCAGCCGCACACACCACAAUGAUGCCCUUGGAUAUAGCACUGAACGCACCGAUGGCGAUGGGGUCCUUAUUGAAGCUGACACCGGCGAGACUGCUGAGAGAUAGCGAGAGCAUGUCCACCCCAUCCUUGAUGGCCGCAUCCAGGCCGGCCAGUACGGCGGAUUCUUGGCAGCCCUCGGCGGUGCACACCUUGUACAUGGCGAUGUGGGCACCUGGAGCAAUUCCGGAAGCAGUGCCCGUGCCCACGCCAUGGUCUGACGCAUCGGUGACGAAGUUGCCGGCGGCAGUGGACGAGGUGUGUGUUCCGUGCCCCACGUAAUCGUACGAGUCGUCAUCUCCAGUAAAUGAGUUGGCACCGAUGAGCUUGUUGUUGCACCUGACCGCCUUGCACGAGCUCCUCCACCUUGUCGGGGGUGAUUGGACACCAUGAUCGUCGAACGAAGGAUGUGUUGCAUAGAUCCCGGUGUCGAGCAGCCCGAUGACCACUCCCUUCCCGUAGCCUGCGUCGCUCCAAAAUCCGGUGCCGUUCCUCAGCCCGAGGAACUCCGGCGUGUGCGUGGUCAUGAGCUGCAGCGUCCGGUCUGGGAACGCGCGCACGAACCCUGGCUUCUUGGUGACCGCGUCGAGCUCAGCCUCUGUGAGCCUCGCCGCGAAGCCGCUGAACACCUCGAUGUAGGAGUGGAGGAGACGCGGCUCCCCAGAUUCGCCGAUGUGUGAGCUCGGCAAGAAAGUCUCGUACCACCGACGAUGCCCCUCUUCGUUGGUACCUGAGGGAGGUGGCUUGACGAGCACAAUGUAAGUGCGGUAGGCAGAUGCUUGUGUAGCACCCUCAUGUACCCUUGCAACAGAUGGACCGACAUAGCACAGGGAUGGUGUAGGAGAGAAGGUGGCGAGCAAGAGAAGUGGUAGUAGUAUGAUGAGAUUUGUCAAGGACGCCAUUGCUGGAAGCUAGGCACACCUACACAACUGAGGAAGACGAUGGCGAUGGAGUGUCUGUCCGGCCAGCACCCGGUGUUCCUCAUUUAUACAUCACGAAUGAUCAAUGUGCUGCAACUUUCAUGAUGCAGAUGUUAAUCCCUUGAAUAUCUUGCAGUAGUAAAGCAUACAGUAGCUUUAAUAUGUGCAUGCUGAUACACAAAUAUACGAAAUCAAUGCACUACUAUCGUUUUUCUAUCUCCUGCAUGAAUUAUAUAUAUAUUACAAUAUGAGCAGAAAUUUCAGAAAAUCAAUGACUCAAAUUUAAUAUCGUAUAAUAGAUUACCACAUGUUUAUGAUCAGUACUAGUAGUGUAUCUACAGAGUUUAUGUUGUGGGAUAUGUGGGGAGAAAUGCAUGAUCUUUUUCGAUUUUCGGCAUGAUCUUGAAGAUUAUUUCGUGUGGACGCAUUUGGACUAUUGGUUUAAAUUGGAAGAUAAUUCAGGAUUCGAAACCAACAGCUGGUGCUUUAUCAUGAUGUCUUAUAUAUCACCUCACAAAUGACAAUAUCAAAGUGGUGAGAGAUCGGGCGAUAUGUUAUAUAUCGCCUCAUAAAUGAUAAUAUCGCUACAGAUUUAAUCUGCUUAACUAGUAUGAUCAAGCGGCAUUGUUCACUCAGUAUUAAGGACCCUUCACUCAAUCCAUCAUAAUAACGAUCCAUAAUCUGUUUAUGUUUUGGGAUUCAAAUUGUUUACCCUCUAAUGAGAUGACUGUGUUACUACUCAGGGUGGACGACACGGUCCGGUCCAGCGGUCCGGCUCGUGGCCCGCUCGGCUUGGGCCGGCUCGGUCCUGGCCCGCUGAAAAAAUCGGCCGGUCCAAGCUUAGCAAACCAGCCCGACAAAGCUUCGGUCCGGUCCGGGCUUUAACCAAGCCGACCGAGCGGACCGACGAACAUGAGCUGUGGCAUGGCGAGAGCAUGGCGGGGGCAUGUCAGGACGAGGCAGGGGCGUGGCGGGGGCGUGCCCAGGGCGUUGCAGGGGCGUGGCGGGGGCGUGCCCAGGGCGUUGCAGGGGCGUGGCGGGGGCGUGUCGACGUCGUGGCGGGCGCGUGGCGAGCGUGUGGCCAGAGCUGCAUGGCGGGCGCAUGGUGGGCGCGUCGGCCGUGCGUUGGUCUGCGCCGCCGUCGUUCAUCCGCACGGCCACCGGCCUCUCUGACGCUAGAAAGCAUGUCUAGUGGAUGCACCAUGCUCGGAUCUAUCAUCUGGAAGGUAGAACUUGAAGUGGGAGGCCCUACACCGCCAUUGUACACCGGCCGUCGUGCCAGAUUCGUCGUCGCUGUUGCUGCCCGAGCUCUGCCUGGCCGCCGUGCCGUCCAUCGUGAGUCACAGAAGACACUGGACAUCUCCAUGACGAGCCCUGCUGCCUCCAGCGCCCUCCCCGCGUCGCCAUGCUCCAGCGUGUGCUCUGUGGUGAACUCCGGCCGGUCCAAACAAGCCGCUCGAUCCGGCUCGGGCUUCGUCCCUGCCGGUCCGGUACUGAAAACAGGACCAUGAACUGCUCGGUCCGGUCCGGUCCGGACCGCCGACGGCCAGUCCAAAGGACAGCUCGGUCAGGGACCGGACCGGCCCAGACCGUGUCCACCCUGAGUUACUACUGUGAAUUGUUUAAGAUUCAAUCAGCUCCUCUUCUUUCGAGGAGCAUAGCUGAUCCUGAACUCUUUAUUCAUGUCGAAAAUGCAGAAACAUAAACUUGUCCUUGCUAAUGGCCUUGGGCAUGAGGCCAGGAAGAUCAGCUUAACAAUUACCAUAACGUGGUUCCUGAUAAAAACAGCCACUACCAGACAUUCAACAUCUCCGUCUGAUCGAAGUAAGCCGUCACCGAAAGAUGCUUGUGGAGAUUCAUAGUACACAUUCAGAGUUGGAGCCGUCACCAUAAGAUACGGCACCGGCUGGUUGGGCACUGAACUCUUGAUGGGGUUAGCCCACUAUAUAUAAGCUCUUCUUCUUUACAGAUCACUUAACAAUGGCGUCAGUAUAUGGUGUCGUGGUGGCGUCGGUAUCUGCUCUGAAGGUGGAUCGGUGAGAGACGGCGGCGGCAUCCUCUAAGAGUGAGCCGGACUAGUGUGUGCCCCAGACCAAGUAUAUGGCUUGGCUGGGCUUCCGGUUUUAGAUGUUAGUCUUAGGUGCGAGGUCUGUUUGAUAUUAGGCUCGGACUAUUUGCACCCCUUCAUCAAGUGGAUAGAAGUAGCAACAGAUAUUGCCAAGAUGGUGGCUUCAGACUUACUGAUGUACUAUUUUGUAAGGUCUUUAUGAAUAAUUAAUAAAAUGGUUGUAUGCAUCGUCCAGAUGCGGAGGCUGGUGGUCUUCCUCCUUUAAAAAAAAAAAGAGAUUGAUACUGCCAAAACGAGAUACAAAAGAGCAGCAGGAGUAUAUAGCAAAUUAACGUCCCAAUCAGCCAGUUUGUUUGCAUUGUUCCUUAUUCGACAAAAGGUCACACGAAUUGAACAACUCUAGAAAGGUUACAAGUUUCUGCAGUUCUUAGUAAAACUUACAUCAAAAAAACAUACUAAGACGACACAUAUCUUGUUCCAUUACCACUGCUUUAUCUGACAAAAACAUCCAUCAGUAAUGGAGCGGGGCAGGACCUCCUGCUCCACGGAUGACGACAAUGAGGGGCCAACUACUAUAGAAUCUGAGCUUGCUGUGAAAAAAUAGAAAAAGAAAUCUGGACCAUCGGAUGCAGCAUGAUCGGUACAGAUGGAGGCAGAGGGUUCUCAAUGCACAUUUUAAGAAACCCCCCUGUUAUUAGGUACAUAUACAGGAUGACUUUUGCAAUAACCACCCUCAGAUAUCAAUAAUUAUGCCUGUCAUAAAUAAGACAUUGUACAAAACUGUACAGGUAUCCGUCUCUUAGGUUUUAAAAAAAUUGCACAUAUGUACGGCAUGAAACUUCUUGUAGAUUUGAUUUAAGUAGUAGCUUCUGCUACAUCAGUAAAUAUGCAAGAAAUCCAGACAUAUUGGUGACUAGAAAGUACAUGACAAAUUUAACCACCCACUUCAAGCAUACCUAAGCAUACAUUUCAAACCUGACGAUCCCAUAUAAGACACAAACAGAAGAGAUACAUACAUAUCAAAUGCUACAUAGCAUGAGAGGAUUACUUUUGUUACAACACGGGCAAGACUAAGUAGACUAAAAUAAUCACAACCCAACAAGCACGGCCAUUAAAAGCUGCAUUACUAUCUUGGUGGUACAUCACAUAAAAGCUACAGCCUUUGCAUCUUGUGCUUCAUGCUCACCGAGUGCUUCUUGCUCAUUGAGCUUCUUGUGCUGCUAAUCCCAGUUUGUAUCUGCUAAUGAACUGCAUUGCUAUCUUCAUGGUACACAACACAAACACAGCAUGACAAAUCAGAGGGAGGAAAUGAACUAAUCUCGGUGUAUUUGCUAAGAAAAUAAGCAAUGCGCCUAAAGCCUUCAUGGCAACAUUAUCGAUUAGAGAAUAAACUUACAUCGUCCGAUAGUAUGGCAUGAAUGAAAUCAGAAAUUAGGGUACCUUCCGCAUUAGAAACAAGGGCACGAGCCAUAUUACUUUCCCUAGGAGAAAGAACAAACGAAAUAGAAGUAAAGCUACAAGAUAUAUGCGCCUUUUCUUUUUAAUUGCACUUCAGUACAGAGAAAAUCUAUCUUGGCAUCCAGCACUGUCAUUAUUUAAAUUGGUUAAAAACUGAUGGUAUGACUUGCAUUUAUCACCUAAAGAAAUUGCAAUUACAGAUGCUUACUAGCAAGUCCUGAAAUGGUGCGCAUUGCAGUAUUCCAGCAUUGAAAUUUCUUUAUUGUCUUACUAAAGUCUUGAUUUUAAUUUCUGCAGAGGAACUGGAACACUUUCUAGCUAGAAUUGUUCAACGUAUAUGGAAGGUUGUUCUUCUGGUACGUCCAACAAGUUAUACAACAAGCUUUGCAUCAAUGAUUACUGCCAGCAAAUUUCACCCAUCAGUGCCUGGUGUUCAUGAACUCCAGAAGAAUGGACAAUAUGUAGGGUUCCACCAAGGUUUCUAUGAAAAGGGUCUACUGCUGGAGAUUGGUUUUGCACUUUUGAUACAUAAAAAAUCAGGGCCUAUGCUACAUCUGCCGAUUUCUAUAGUACUUUUUCUAAUGGAAGCAUUGCUGUGAUUGUACAUGAUGUUCCAUACAUCUAACUUUUUCUCGCAAAGUACAACAAAGGUUACAGUGGUGUCGCUGUCGCCUAUUUACAGGAGCGCAUACUUUGCAUUUGUGAGUUUAAGUACACUGACUAUUCUCUUGAAAAGUUUGCUACUGAAGCAUGCAAAUGUUAAGCUUAUGUGUUCCUCUUGAUUCUAGCCAUAUCACCACAAGAUUGCAUUUAUAAAAAAUCAAAUUUAGAGACGGAAGGGUGUGCCUAGAACUGGAAAAUUUUAAUACAAUCCAUCUAUUAUAUGAACUGGUAAAAUCUAUCUUCAUCUUCACAAUAAAAAUGAGCUUACUGUCCCAUCAAGUUUUCAACCAAUGGCUGCAUAUUGCGACAACAAACUUAGCAACCGCAGGUAGUAAUUAUAUUUUUUAUUGAGUUGUCCUAAAAUCGAGGAUUUAUCUACCCAUCUGCAACCUUCCAACUUGGUUAUCUAAGUAAUUACCGGUGAAACAGAACUUUCAAAAUAGACUACCAAACCACUAAGAACAGUAGCAAUACAUCAUCAAAUUGAAGUUAUAAAAUGGCAUCUUCCCAUAUGAGCAGUGACAUGGAAAAGUACAGGAAAACAGAACUGGAGAUGGCAUCACCUGCUUGCAGCCGACGAGGUGAAGGAGGAAGCGACGAACCCACCGCUCCUGGAACCUCGGAUGGGGAGGCAGUGACCAGUGACGAGCACAAAGUAGGGCGGAGCUUAGUAGCCGGCGAGCUCGGAUCUGCUCUGCAUAACCGGGUGGGCGGCGACACAACGGCCAGGAGUCAUCCGAUCUGCUCCUCUCCGAUCUGAUCAGCUCUGAGGUGCUUCCCCACUGGAACACGCCUCCAUUGGUCGUACUCGCCCAGCUCUUGGUUGAGGGAUCUGGGCCGCCGCCGCCGCCGCAGGAGGAAUUUUAGAUCGUGCGUGUGUCGGUGCAUCGGGGAAUCGGGUUUGGGUCUGAAUGAUUAGGACGACGGGAGCAAAUUAACUCUCAGGCAGGGACCUAUUUGCAAACUUGUAGUCAGAGAUUGCUCCACCCGAAUCUGAGCCAUCAAUAUGCCAUCCAAUGGUCCAAACUCAUUUUUUCUAUUCUUCACAGUAGGCUCAGAUUCUAUAGUAGUUGCCCCCCGACAAUGAGACUGCGCACAACACGCUUCUUCAACGCCUAGCUCAAGCUUCCCUCCACAAAGAUUCCUGGUGCACCCACGCCUUGGCAGUUCACUGACACCUUGAACGUCUUCUUUUCCCCAGCCUUGAUGAGGCAGACCGGCGGUGGCAUCAAUGGAGGCAGGGGAACCCUAAUUGCCUGUGCGCGGGAGUCGUGCAAGAGGCGCUUAAGAUUGUCCUCUCUGCUAAUACCCAUGUGGGAGACCAGACAUGUGCAUGUUGAUACACAAUGAUCUGGCCUGGAACGAUAAGGAAAUAUCAAUCCACUGAGAUCGCUUUUCUAUGAAAGACUCAAAUUUAACAUGAUAUAGAUCAAUGCCCGUGAUAUAUAGUAUAGGUAUUGUCGGAUGAAUGGCAACUGACUUUACUGAGGGCCAAAGGCCAAUACAUAUACAUGUGUGGUAAAGUGCAGUAAACCCCUUAUACAAUGGGGAUAUACCGAAAAGAGACUAUACACAUCUAACACCCCCCCCCCUCAAACUCAUGGUGGAUCAACAACACUGAGUUUGGGGAGGAAAAAGGUAUGCUGCGCUCGAGUCUGUGCCUUCGUGAAGAAGUCAGCCAACUGUAACUCAGAGGGCACGUAGUGAAGAGCGAGAGUCUGAUCCUGGACAGCAGCACGCACAAAGUGGGCAUCCACACCGAUGUGCUUGGUGAGCUCGUGCUUCACCGGGUCACGCGCAAUACUGAUAGCACCAGUACUGUCUGACAGUAAGGGAGUCGAGGUAGUAGCAGACACACCAAAAUCCUCAAGUAACCAUCGUAACCAGAUCACCUCAGCUGUCAACAUAGCCAUGGCACGCAGCUCAGCCUCUGUACUCGAGCGAGAAACUGCAGUCUGUUUCUUGGUCUUCCAGGCAAUAAGAGAGCCAUCAAGAAAGACACAGUAAGCAGACAAUGAGCGUCGAUCAGAGGGAUCACUAGCCCAGGUAGCAUCAGAGUAAGCCUGGAGCUCAAGAGAACUGAAGCAGGGAAAGAAAAGACGCUGAGAGAUCGUGCCACGAAGAUAUCGUAGAACAUGGAGAAGGUGACUAUAAUGGACAGAGGUGGGGGCUGAAACAAACUGACUCAGGAUGUGAACGAGAUAGGAGAUGUCAGGACGCAUAACAGCAAGAUAGACAAGGCUACCAACAAGGUGACGAUAGCGAGUGGGAUUAGGAAGAGGGUCACCAUCAGAGGCACGAAGCUGAACGUUGAGCUCCAUAGGAGUCACAACAGUGCGGUCAUCACUGAGAGCAGCUCGAGCAAGAAGAUCCUGAAUAUAUUUCUCUUGAGAGAUGUAGAAGCCAUCAGAGGUCGAGGAGAUCUCAAUCCCAAGAAAAAAGCGAAGAGGACCAAGAUCAGUCAUGAGGAACUGGUCAUGAAGGCGAGCCUUAACAAAGGCAAUGUAGUCAGAGUCGUCACCAAUGAUGAUCAUGUCAUCAACAUAAAGAAGGAGAAGGGUACGACCACGAGGAGACGUGUGAACAAACAACGCGGGAUCAUGAUCACUUGGCAAGAAACCAGCGGCAGUCACCACAGAGGAAAAACGCUCAAACCAAGCGCGAGGGUCCUGUUUAAGACCAUAGAGGGAGCGCCCAAGUCGACAGACCAUACCGUCAGGAGCAUAAUACCCCGGUGGGGGCUGCAUGUAAACCUCCUCACGCAGCUCGCCAUUGAGAAAGGCGUUCUGGACAUCAAGUUGAGAGAUAGACCACUGACGAACAGAAGCCACCGCAGGGAGAGUGCGGACAGUGGUCAUGUGAGCCACAGGAGCGAAUGUCUCAUCAUAGUCGCGUCCCUACUCCUGCUGAAAACCACGAGCCACAAGACGAGCUUUGUAGCGCUCAAGAGAACCAUCGGAACGAGUCUUAACCUUGUAGACCCACUUGUAGGUGAUGGGACGAACACCGGAAGGGAGGGAAACCUGCUCCCAUGUGCCAGAGUGCUCAAGGGCAGCAAGUUCUUCGACCAUCGCAAGCUGCCAUUCAGGUUGAGUCAUGGCAGUCCGAUAGGAAGUGGGCUCAGCAAUGACAGAGAGACCAUACCGAUCAGGAGAGUAGCAAUCAGGCGGGGGGCGAGGCCGAUCCCGGAGAUUGUGAACCGGGGGAGGCGUGAGAAGAGGUGCACCAGAGGUGGAAGGCACGUCAGAGGAGGCAUCCUCAGGACGAGGGCGACGAGUAUAGUGGAGAGGGAACGGUGAGAGAGGGCGAUGAACUGGGGAUGAUGGCGAGAAGGUGGAUGAGAAGGAUGGAGAAGGUGGGGUCGGUGGUGAAGGAGAAGGAAUGAGGAAUGGUGGAGGAAGAGAUCACACAGAAGGCACAUAGCAAGGUGUAUCGGGAAGGAGAAGGAAAGAGAGAUCAUCCACAGAGAAACUCGAGAAAGAAGGACGUGGGUAGUAGGAACAAGACUCGUCAAAAGUCACAUCACGCGAGAUGCGCAGGCGACGACCCACAGGAUCCCAACAUCAAUAGCCCUUGUACUCAUCACUGUAACCAAGAAAAAUACACUCAACCGACUGAGCAGACAGUUUGGUGCGUUCUCGGGGGGCAAGAAGAACAUAGCAUAUGCAGCCAAACAUACGGAGAGCGGAGUAGUCAGGAAAGCAACCAGUGAGGCAUUCCAGAGGAAUACCACCCUCAAGGCAGUCGAUGGCUGAAUGUUGAUGAGAUAGGUGGAUGCAGAAACAGUCUCAGCCCAAAAAUGGGGUGGAAGAGAAGCAGCAAUCAUCAUCGCACGAGCGGUCUCAAGCAAAUGACGAUGCUUACGUUCAGCAACACCAUUCUAAGCAUGAGCACCAGGACAAGAGAACUGGGCAAGAGUACCCUGUUCCGCGAGAAAACCACGCAACAGCUGGGAGAUAAACUCUCCAGCGGAGUCAGCACGAAAAGUACAAAUGGGCAUGAAAAACUGGGUGUGAACCAUGGCAGCAAAUCGUUUGUAUAUAGAGAGAACCUCACCACGAGAUUUCAUGAAGUAGAGCCAAGUGUAGCGAGAGAAAUCAUCAAUAAAUAGGACAUAGUAACGAUGACCACCUUUCGAAUCAAAGGGAGCAGGAUCCCAAACAUCAAAAUGAACUAAGUCAAAAUGACGCUGAGAUACCGACUCACUGGUGGGAUAAGGUAACUGCGUCUGUUUGCCCAGUUUGCAACCAUUACAAUGUAAAGAAACAUCUCCAGAUACAGACCCUAAGAGGCCCUGAUGGACUAAAGAAGACAAGCGAGAGCCACAGAGGUGACCAAGGCGAUGAUGCCACUGUUGGAAGGAUGCAGACGAAGAGGCAGCAAGAGCAUGGGAGCUGGCAGAAGUGGUGGCAGCGGAAGGAACACAAAGCCAGUCGGCCUCCCAAAGACCCUCUGACUCACGGCGCCGAGGGCCAGCACCAACCAAAGCCUUGGUGCGAUGAUCCUGAAUAGAGCAAGAGUCGGUAUCAAGAAUGACACGACAACCAGAAUCAGUAAGUUGGGCAGCAGAAAAAAAAUUCAUGGUAAGACGAGGAACAUGUGAAACACUCGGAACCGAAAAGGAAGGAGUGGAAAGAAUACCACGACUAGCAACAGGGAGAGGUGUGUCAUCGGCGGUAAGAACAUUAACAUGCGAAUCAAGAGGUCGAAGAGAAGACAGCGCGGAAGAAUCAGGAGACAUAUGAAAAGAAGCUCCAGAAUCAAGAACCCACGAGGAUGUACAUGACUGUGUAGGUGGCUGCGAUGGUGAUGAAGGGGAUGCAGUCACUGCAGCAACAGAACCAGUCGACGAGGAGCCGGAUGAACCAAGUAGACGCUUGAGGCGUACAAUGUCCUGAUCAGUGAGGGACGGAGUCGAGGAAGACACAGGAGUCCCACUAGAAGGGGUGCGCCUCUGGUCUCGCUUCUUCUGGCGACAAUCAGACUCUGGGUGACCUGACCGAGAGCAGUAACCACAGAAGGUGUCACGGCACAACGUGCCCUUCUCAGCAUAAGGAGGACGACUGACCUCCCCCUGGAGGAGUAGGCAGGAGCGGCGGAGCAGUGAGGCGAGCAGACGUCACAGGAGCUCGGGCGGCCAGCACUGACGGAACCAGAAGCAACCCAGCAGAGCGAAGGCGAGUCUCCUCAGCAUGAAGCUCGGCAAGUACCUCCGAGAUAGGAACACGACCACGAGCAAGCAAGUGAGCACGUCGAGGCUCAAACUUAGACCGGAGACGAGAUAAGAACUCAUGAACCCGCUGAAACUCCAGAUCAGACUGAGUAGUCUGACAGCAACGACAGGUUCCACAAACAACUGUCCGAAGAGAGUCAAGCUGGCGCCAGAUGGCAGAGCACUGUGAAUAGAACUCAUCAACAGAAGAAUCACCUUGCUGAAGUGCAUGCUCCUGACGUACCACAGAUAGGUAGAGAGCAUCACCAGAGGGCUGAUAGCGCUGACACAGAUAAGACCACAUCGCUGCAACUGUGCCAAGUCCCAUGAACUCCGAAGCAAACAGAGGGAGAACACUCGCAGUGAGAACAGCAGCCGCUCGAGCAUCAUCAUUGCACCACUGAGUGUAAGCAGACAGAUCAUCCCGGUAGACAGAAAGAGCAUCAGAAUAGGCAGAUACCUGCUGAUCAUAAGUAUCAACUGCAGCAUCAUCAAGAGUCUUGGAUGCAUCCCAAUCAGCCUGAGAAGCAUCAGCAGCAAUCACCGGCGGUACUGGCGGAAUAGGCGCCACCAGAGUAACAGGGCACGGCGGACAGGGUACCUCGUCAGAGAGAACACCCCACAGCAGAAGACCGCACAUAUGAAUACGCAUGAAACCGGCGAACUCAUCAUAGUUGGUGCCAUCAAAGAUCACCGAGCAGCGAGGAACAGCCACAUAGCCCGAAGAUGACAUACUGAGGUAUCCCUUUGUGCUGUUUCUGCCUUCUCUCUCUCUCUCUCUUUUUUGAAGUCAACGUGUACAGGAAAACCCAAUCGGGAUCGGGAUCGAGAGAAACACGAGCGCUCGGCGCUCACUCACGCCCUCGCUCGGGCAAUCGAGGCGAGCGGGGUCAGCGGCUCGAGCUCGAGCAGAGCGGGCAGGUUGGGGACCCCCGCGCGAAGCAGAGCAGGCGGGUUGGGGACCCCCGCUCGAAGCAGAGCAGCAGCCCCGCUCGAAGCAGAACUCGAGCUGAGCAGGCCCGAUGGAACAGCCCCCGCGCGGAGAACUCGAGCGGCGGCCAGCCUCGAGCGAAGCCGAAACGGAGCAGGGAAGCAACAGCGGCCCGGCGGCAGGAGUUCCGGGGCGGACGGAUUCGUCGAGAGGAGGGCCAGAACGGCCGGAGCCGCAGCGAGAAGGUCCGGGACGGACGGAUUCGCGGAGAGGAGAGCCGGGACGGCCGGAUCCGCGGCAAGAAGAGCCGGACCUGGCAGUGGGCGAAUCGGGGGAGGAGCUAGCACGGAGUUGCAGCGUGCAGGAAAGAAGGGAACCUAACAUCUGAUACCAUGUUGGAUGAAUGGCAUCUGACUUUACUGAGGGCCAAAGGCCAAUACAUAUACAUGUGUGGUAAAGUGCAGUAAACCCCUUAUACAAUGGGGAUAUACCGAAAAGAGACUAUACACAUCUAACAGGUAUCAUGUCAUAAAUGUCAAUAUAGUAGUAGUGACAGAAAUGAGAUCAGGUGAGGUCGAACUGAUCACCAAAUUGAAACGGCUAUUUUCAGCACCUUUUCUUGGUGUGACUGUGCUAAAGACUUAAUGAUCUAUUAGUGUAUUAGUACUGAUGAUCGAGUGGCAUUUUACUGGCCUUAUUAGUGGAUGGACGUUCAGUUUCUACUACUUGUUGUCUUCUUAACACAUAUAUUUAUGCAGUCCUGUUGUGUGUGGUUCAGCAAUGUAGAGGUGUCAUCUACAUUGAAGGCCCUUUAGUCAAUUCAAACCAGCUACUGUGAAAUCUUUAGGAUUCAAUCAGCUCCUCUUUCUUUGAUGAGUGGUAUCUAACCACUAUGCAGGAGUUGUCCUGAACCCUAUUUGUGUCCAACAUACAAGACCAGAACGGCUAAUAGCUUUAGUCCAUUCUAUCCGCUCAAACAUUCAAGCAGUCCGAAUACUGGUUUUGCUGACAUGGAUCCAAAUCAGCGUGUCAUUUUGGGAUGUGACAAGCCACUUGAGAAAAAUUUGCCGCAUUAGCCCAUCUUUCUCCCUGUUAAAUGUUUGGGUUGAAGCACAAGUUCAGUAAAUCGGUAGAAACUUGACUUUAAUCAAAGCUGAAAGUCGGAAAGGUGUCAAAUAGGAAGUUUUCGGUUCAGUUUGAAAAUUCAAGAGCCUACAGGGUGAUUGUUGUGCCUCAGCAGUCUUGAGAGUUUAACUACAGAUUGUCCGUACUCUACACACACAACUGAGCCUAUAUUUCACUUGUUUGUACUGUUCCUUAUCCGACAAGAGGUUAUAAGGAUUAAACAACAACAGAAUGUCACAAGAUUCUGAAGUUCUUAGUAAAACUUUUAUUAGAAAAACAAACUGAGACGACACAAUCACACAAAUCUUAUUCCAUUGCCAUGUUUGAUCUGACACAAAAAAACACUAAGCCUGAAAUCUCAGGGCAUGGACAUCGUUCAUGGUGAUGGAGCGGGAGCAUGACCUCCUGCUCCAUGGACGGCGACAAUGGGACUACGCACAACAUGCUUCUUCGACACCCAGCUCAAGCUUCCCUCCACAAAGGUUUCCG